UGGUUCAGAUUGAACGCUGGCGGCAGGCCUAACACAUGCAAGUCGAACGGUAACAGGAAGCAGCUUGCUGCUUCGCUGACGAGUGGCGGACGGGUGAGUAAUGUCUGGGAAACUGCCUGAUGGAGGGGGAUAACUACUGGAAACGGUGGCUAAUACCGCAUAACGUCGCAAGACCAAAGAGGGGGACCUUCGGGCCUCUUGCCAUCAGAUGUGCCCAGAUGGGAUUAGCUAGUUGGUGAGGUAACGGCUCACCAAGGCGACGAUCCCUAGCUGGUCUGAGAGGAUGACCAGCCACACUGGAACUGAGACACGGUCCAGACUCCUACGGGAGGCAGCAGUGGGGAAUAUUGCACAAUGGGCGCAAGCCUGAUGCAGCCAUGCCGCGUGUAUGAAGAAGGCCUUCGGGUUGUAAAGUACCUUCAGCGGGGAGGAAGGUGUUGUGGUUAAUAACCGCAGCAAUUGACGUUACCCGCAGAAGAAGCACCGGCUAACUCCGUGCCAGCAGCCGCGGUAAUACGGAGGGUGCAAGCGUUAAUCGGAAUUACUGGGCGUAAAGCGCACGCAGGCGGUCUGUCAAGUCGGAUGUGAAAUCCCCGGGCUCAACCUGGGAACUGCAUUCGAAACUGGCAGGCUUGAGUCUUGUAGAGGGGGGUAGAAUUCCAGGUGUAGCGGUGAAAUGCGUAGAGAUCUGGAGGAAUACCGGUGGCGAAGGCGGCCCCCUGGACAAAGACUGACGCUCAGGUGCGAAAGCGUGGGGAGCAAACAGGAUUAGAUACCCUGGUAGUCCACGCCGUAAACGAUGUCUACUUGGAGGUUGUGCCCUUGAGGCGUGGCUUCCGGAGCUAACGCGUUAAGUAGACCGCCUGGGGAGUACGGCCGCAAGGUUAAAACUCAAAUGAAUUGACGGGGGCCCGCACAAGCGGUGGAGCAUGUGGUUUAAUUCGAUGCAACGCGAAGAACCUUACCUGGUCUUGACAUCCACAGAACUUUCCAGAGAUGGAUUGGUGCCUUCGGGAACUGUGAGACAGGUGCUGCAUGGCUGUCGUCAGCUCGUGUUGUGAAAUGUUGGGUUAAGUCCCGCAACGAGCGCAACCCUUAUCCUUUGUUGCCAGCGGUUAGGCCGGGAACUCAAAGGAAACUGCCAGUGAUAAACUGGAGGAAGGUGGGGAUGACGUCAAGUCAUCAUGGCCCUUACGACCAGGGCUACACACGUGCUACAAUGGCGCAUACAAAGAGAAGCGACCUCGCGAGAGCAAGCGGACCUCAUAAAGUGCGUCGUAGUCCGGAUUGGAGUCUGCAACUCGACUCCAUGAAGUCGGAAUCGCUAGUAAUCGUGGAUCAGAAUGCCACGGUGAAUACGUUCCCGGGCCUUGUACACACCGCCCGUCACACCAUGGGAGUGGGUUGCAAAAGAAGUAGGUAGCUUAACCUUCGGGAGGGCGCUUACCACUUUGUGAUUCAUGACUGGGGUGAAGUCGUAACAAGGUA
rnacentral:rRNA from 1 species